AUUUUCAACAGAACAGAGCUGAUCAAUCUCCCCGGGUGCGAUGCCUCCCCACUUACUGAUGUCCGAUGCCGAUUUGGUGGCCAGGACAGCAUAGCAACCCUUUGCAGCGAACCUGAAGGAUUUGGGGCAAUAGAAAGUAUGCGGUGACGUUGGUUGCAGUAGUUUGCAAACUAUCCUCUCGGUACAGAUAGAAGAAGCAGAUCCUUUGCAUAAUUUAUUCAAGCCACACAUGCAUCACAGUAGAUUCUCGCUAAGUCUUCCUUCAUCCUAAAUCUCCGCUCACGAUGGUCCCACAAAAUCCUUAUUUCAAAGAAUUGUUCAACUUCCUUAACUGUGAUUAGAUGAGUAGUUUUGAAAGGAGGACCCAUAAGGUGGGCACAUGUUAGUAUCCAAAUAUGCUCGUUGACAUCUUUUAUAAUGAAACCCGUUGAACAGUGACUUUCUUAACUUUCCUUCUCCCUUUCAAGGAUUCUCUCUGUAUCGUCACAUGGAAUUGUAUCGAUUGCAUUCCACCGUUCAUACACUUUAGCAGGUCCUUAGGCAUCAGCUCAACAAAGAUUGCAGACCCCUCGAAACUCUCUAUAGACCCAUUCCAUAGUUCAUUCAAUCGGAUAAGCAGAUCCCGUCAGCUUCUGUCGCAGUUGGCUAUUUCUUGUUCUCGAUCACAUAGCCUUCAGCGUCGAAGCGAUUGAAAAGGCUUGAUUUGGUUUGCAUUGUUGUUGCCUUGCAGUUUUGUGAGAUGGUCAGGCUACUGAAUCUCUGUUGGACGCCACCCCCAAAGAGCAAUGAACUCGCGUCCAAUUCUGCUUUCAUGUGGAGAUUGGGUGCCAGAUCCAUUCAUCCUUGGCCUUUCUUGCAAUGCACAUUUGUACUCUCUAAUCGUCAUGCAAUCACCGAAUACAAUUUAACGGUGACAUGUUCUAAUGGAUUGAACAUUGAAUACUGUCAGAACUCAGAAAUAUUUCCCCUUCCACAGGAAGAAGCCACAGAGCUCUUGCUCACAUCUACGGCCUGCCCAAGGCGCACUACAUACAUCCCACACUUUUUACUUUAUUUAUAUAUAUAGAUAGAUGGAGACAGCGACUCUUUUGCUAUUAGAACCACAUGAACUCGACUAUUUCUCAAAGGUUUUCUGAUGCCAAAUAGAACGCUUUUGUCUGAAUCUCUGUGUUACCAAGUCUCUGCAAAAAAAGAAAAAGAGAGAGAUAUUUCUCCACGUCUGAAAUUACAGAGUUCUGCAGCACAUGGAAUCAGAUACAGUUCGUCAAGGGAAGCAUUUGCUGGUAUUUCUUUCUUUUGGAAAAGGAAGAAAUCAUUUGGUUCUGGGCAGAAGCUGCUUCUCUGAAGCUUCCUUCUGUCAUAGCAUAUCGCUGCUUGAGAUCGCAGCGAUUAC
rnacentral:lncRNA from 1 species